UGAAAAAAAAAAAAAAUCUGUAAUAUUGUUAUUAGUUAUGUGCUACAUCAAGAUUAUUAUCCAUAAGAUAAAAUAUCUUGUUAUAUGUUAUGGGGCUAUAGGACCCAACAUAUAUUUAUGCAUCUAAGUAACAGUUACUCUGGAAUACCUAAUUAUAUUGAGCUGAUAGGGAGCACAACUGCUUUAAUGCUGUCAUAAGGGCAGAUCCCUCUAAUGGCUGAGAGUUGAGUCAAGCCUUGUUUUUUCAAUAUAGUAAUAGGUUGUACUGUAGACACGCACAAUUAAAAUAAGAAGUUUAUAAGGUUUGUAUUUCUGUUUGUAAAAGUAAAAUAAGGUGUAGAAAUGGGGAAAAAAAACAUUGUAGUAGCUAAAUAACUGGGCUUGUCAACAGGCUUUUGUUUGUUUUGGUGGAUGGAUGGGAGGAGCCUAGCUGGGCCCUCUCUCUGCCUCAGUCUUCUUUUGGCUUCAAGCUGAGGAGGAUCAUCUUCUCUGUUCUUCUUGUGUCUGGGCAGGAUAUGAGUGCUCCAGAGAGUGUGGCUGAGGACCAACACCCACCCAGAAGUGUACUUCAUUUCCAGUACCAUCCCAGGUUGCACUGAAUGUUUCUAAAGUACUUUCACAAGCUAACACCAGAGCUGCCAUCGCUUCCAGCGCUUCAAUAAAGGAUCUAACCAGGCCAAAAUCAAAGCAUCACGAACCAGUCAACACGGGGGUUUCACUAUACCCUAUGGAGGCUGCGACAAGAUUUAUGUAAGUGAAACAGCAAGAAACCUCGACACCCGCCUCAAUGAACACAUUUAUGCAUGUAGGAACGAUAACUUGAACAAUGCUUGUGUACAAAACCGAAAUUCCACCAUUCAUCUCAAGAAAUUCAGGAACGCCCAAUUAGUGAUCAAAGAAACUAAUUUCUGCAUAUGCAAGUGCCUUGAAUCAGCACUAAUUGCUGUUUCUAAUACAAUUAAAUAAAACAAAGGCAGCUUCACCAUCUCUGAAGUCUUAGCAAGAAUCCUCCUGAAAACAGUAAACCCUGCCAUCACAUUGUCUCUCCUGUUGAUACUACACAAGCACAUUACAGAGAAUGAACACUGAAACAGGCCUUCUCUAUUCAGCCUCCAACAGAAAUAUUUGUCUAACCUAUUUUUAUGUUAACCAAGUAAUAGCUUUUAUAUUCAUUUUACUCAUGUGCAAGUUAAUUGUUCUACCAUAUUGUAUUACUACUACUACUACUACUACAACUUAUAUCACUACUACCACUAGUACUGCACCUCACUCUGAACCUAUAUAUACCCUGUGUCCAUGUACUGUUUGUAACGGCUUGAUAAAGCUCCUGGAGAGCGAAACAUUGCCACAAUAAAAAUGUCACAUUAGUUGCACUUGUGUCCUUUUACUUUACAUUUUUUCUUUUUCUUUAAACACACCGGCCGUAUCCCAC